rnacentral:rRNA from 1 species
AGUCGGAUUAGCUAGUUGGUAGGGUAAUGGCCUACCAAGGCGACGAUCCGUAACUGGUCUGAGAGGACGACCAGUCACACCGGAACUGAGACACGGUCCGGACUCCUACGGGAGGCAGCAGUGGGGAAUAUUGGACAAUGGGCGAAAGCCUGAUCCAGCGACGCCGCGUGGGUGAAGAAGGCCUGCGGGUUGUAAAGCCCUUUCGGUGGGGAAGAAAAGCCUCGAGUUAACACCUCGGGGUCUUGACGUAACCCAUAGAAGAAGCACCGGCUAACUCUGUGCCAGCAGCCGCGGUAAUACAGAGGGUGCGAGCGUUAAUCGGAAUUACUGGGCGUAAAGCGCGCGUAGGCGGCUUCGCAAGUCGGGUGUGAAAUCCCCAGGCUCAACCUGGGAACUGCAUUCGAGACUGCAUUGCUAGAGUAUGGGAGAGGGAAGUGGAAUUUCCGGUGUAGCGGUGAAAUGCGUAGAUAUCGGAAGGAACAUCAGUGGCGAAAGCGACUUCCUGGACCAAUACUGACGCUCAUGUGCGAAAGCGUGGGGAGCAAACAGAUUAGAUACCCUGGUAGUCCACGCCAUAACGAUGAGAACUGGAUGUCG